rnacentral:lncRNA from 1 species
GAAUUUCUUCAGUAAUUUGCUCAGCUUUCUCUAGUUGAAUAUAAUGCUGCGCAUCCCGAAUUACGACUACUUCGAGAUCAGGUACGAGAGUCUUAAAUUCGUCUCCCUUGAUGUAAUUUUCAGUCCCAAAUGAUUUAAAUCCCAUAUGCUUGUCACCUAUUAUGAACUUCGUAGGAACACAAAUCUUGGCACCCUGCCAUGGUGCUGUUAGCUCCCAGUUCCUGCAUCAAUCCAUUGAUGAUACAUCAUAAAUUCAUAAACCAAAAUCAAAGCUAUUGCUGUGUAACGCAAUCAAAUAUUGUGACCUAAUUAUGUGACACACCAAAUGCAAUUCAAAAUGAUGUUGAGUUGUGACAUCUUACUUGUCCAUGGCACGGUAGUAGUUCAGUGCCCCGGUGAAACCUGUUGCAUUGAAUUUUUCUGCCCAGGAUUGCAGAUCUUCCAAGUUCACCCACUCGGGUAAUGAAGAUGGGGUGUGAAGGAAGUCGAUGAUUUCAACUCCAGCGGGAGCGGCAAUAAUAUCAGGAGCAUUUACGAGCAAAAGCUUCUU